rnacentral:rRNA from 1 species
GUACACGCUGUGACUAGCAUAUCAAUAAGCGGAGGAAAAGAAACUAACAAGGAUUCCCCUAGUAACGGCGAGUGAAGCGGGAAGAGCUCAAAUUUGAAAUCUUAAAGGGUUUCCCUUUACGAAUUGUAGUUUAAAGAAGUGUUUUCUGUUGAGGUUUUGGUAAAAGUUCUUUGGAAUAGGACAUCAUAGAGGGUGAGAAUCCCGUAUUUGACCUUUACUUUCAACUUUGUGAUACACUUUCAAAGAGUCGGAUUGUUUGGGAAUGCAGUCCAAAAUGGGUGGUAAAUUUCAUCUAAAGCUAAAUAUUGGCGAGAGACCGAUAGCGAACAAGUACCGUGAGGGAAAGAUGAAAAGAACUUUGAAAAGAGAGUUAAACAGUACGUGAAAUUGUCAAAAGGGAAGCGUUUGACACCAGUGUUGUUUUUCUGAAAAUCAAUUAAAGAACUGUUUAUGCUAAGCUGUUUAGACUUUAUCAGCUAUCUGUUUAGUUUUGAGCUUUUCUUUAAUGCACUUUUCAGUUAACAAGUCAACAUCAACUUCUUUUGCUGUAAAAAAGGCUUGAGGAAGGUGGCUUGAGAUUCGUCUUAAGUGUUUAUAGCCUCUUGCCUAUGCAGUCGGAGAGAUUGAGGUCUGCAGCGUAGAUCCUUCGGGGCUAAAUGCAUUUGUGCUAAGUUAUAGCAUUUUAUAGACAACUUGUUGACUAUGAUUUGUCUUGUAGCUUACUCGCUUAUGUUAUUUUACCUACGCUUAGGAUGUUGACUGAUAUGUAGUCGU